AUUGAACGCUGGCGGCAGGCCUAACACAUGCAAGUCGAACGAGUGGCGGACGGGUGAGUAAUGUCUGGGAAACUGCCCGAUGGAUGGGGCUAACUACUGGAAACGGUAGCUAAUACCGCAUACCAUCGGAUGUGCCCAGAUGGGAUUAGCUAGUAGGUGGGGUAACGGCUCACCUAGGCGACGAUCCCUAGCUGGUCUGAGAGGAUGACCAGCCACACUGGAACUGAGAAACGGUCAAGAAUCCUACGGGAGGCAGCAGUGGGGAAUAUUGCAGAAUGGGGGCAAGCCUGAUGCAGCCAGGCCGCGUGUAUGAAGAAGGCCUUCGGGUUGUAAAGUACUUUCAGCGAGGAGGCGUUACUCGCAGAAGAAGCACCGGCUAACUCCGUGCUAGCAGCCGCGGUAAUUC
rnacentral:rRNA from 1 species